rnacentral:SRP_RNA from 1 species
GCUGGGCCUGGUGUCACAUACCUGUAGUCCCAGCUACUCAAGAGGCUAAGGGUAGAAAAUCAUUUGAGUCCAGGAGCUCUGAGCUGUAGUGUGCUAUGCCUAUUGGGUAUCCAAACUAAGGUUGGCGUCAGUAUGGUGACCUCCCAAAAGUGAGGGACCACCACAUUGCCUAAUGAGGAGUGAAGUGGCCCAGGUUAGAACCAGAGCAGAUCAAAACUCACAUGCUGAUCAGUAGUGGGAUUGUGCCGGUGAAUAACCACUGUACUCCAGCCUGGGCAACAUAGCAAGACCCUAUCUCUU